UACAGAGGUGGCAAGCGUUGUUCGGAUUUACUGGGCGUAAAGGGUGCGUAGGCGGUCAUGUGUGUCAGAUGUGAAAUCCCACGGAUUAUCCGUGGAACUGCAUUUGAAACUGCUUGACUGGAGUGCAGGAGAGGAAGGUGGAAUUCUCGGUGUAGCGGUGAAAUGCGUUGAUAUCGAGAGGAACGCCGGUGGCGAAGGCGACCUUCUGGACUGCAACUGACGCUGAGGCACGAAAGCUGGGGGAGCAAACAGG
rnacentral:rRNA from 1 species